AUAUCUUAUAUAAUUUUUUGCAAUGACUAUUAAAAUAUUGCCUUAAAUUAAGAUAAUCCCAAUAAGUAUGUUUUUGUAAGACCAUAUUCGGUAUUCGGAGAAUUGUCAAAAAAUAUUCGUAUUUAGUAUUUAAAAAUUAUGUCCAAAUGUGAAACAUAUUCGAACCUAUGACCUAUCAUUUGAAAUUUUGGUCAUUUAACCGCUAGAGCAACACAAGUUAUCGGUUGAUAUCUUGCGAGGAUUAAUAUUUAUAUCAAAACAUGAGAUUUCCCCCAUAUAUUCCUUUUUUCUCCUUCAUUACAUACCAUUAAUAUAAUCUCAAGAAGUU
rnacentral:lncRNA from 1 species